rnacentral:lncRNA from 10 species
AGAAGCUGAGGGCUGCGCGAAUUGGCUGAGGUGCGUCAUCUACUGUGUCUGGGCGCCAAUCCCGACGCUGGGCGGAGCGAGGCCCGGUCCCUGCAGCGGGCGAAAGGAGCCCGGGCCUGGAGGUUUGCGUACCGGUCGCCUGGUCCCGGCACCAGCGCCGCCCAGUGUGGUUUCCCAUAAGGAAGCUCUUCUUCCUGCUUGGCUUCCACCUUUAACCCUUCCACCUGGGAGCGUCCUCUAACACAUUCAGACUACAAGUCCAGACCCAGGAGAGCAAGGCCCAGAAAGAGGUAAAUCUAAAUACUAACUUCCCAGACAGUGUUUCUUUCCCAGAUGAUUGACAUGAGGACUCUCUCUUUUCAGGGGAGAUCCUAACCCCUUACAAACAGGAGCACUUGAAAGCACACAGCUCUGUGAUAUACAGGGUAUGUGGAGGAAUAGUACUAGAGUACAGUUGUUUUCUUUAUAAAUGUUUGCAGCAGGUGUAAAAAUUUAGUCAUCCACUCCUAUGUUCAGAAGAAAAAUAAGUAAUGGCAAGUGGCCUGAGCCACAGUUUUUCUUGUAUCUCUCAUGCUUUGUGCAAAUAUUUAGGGGAAGUAGACACCAUGGAGACUAUCAAGAUGGAUAAUAUCUCGCUCCUAACCUCAGGCAGGUUCUGGUCUGCUGUUAGAGAUGAGUCGCAUGGGACUGUUAGGGUUUGG